GGUCAAGUUAUUAAGGGUGCAGGGCGGAUGCCUUGGCACUAGGAGCCGAUGAAGGACGUGAUAAGCUGCGAUAAGCUUCGGGGAGUUGCACGUAAACUUUGAUCCGAAGAUUUCCGAAUGAGGAAACUCACUUAGAGUAAUGUCUAAGUAUCAUUAAGUGAAUACAUAGCUUAAUGAGGGGAACUCAGGGAACUGAAACAUCUAAGUACCUGAAGGAAGAGAAAGAAAUUCGAUUCCGUAAGUAGCGGCGAGCGAACGCGGAUUAGCCCAAACCAAUAAAGUUUUCUUUAUUGGGGUUGCGGACAUAUCAUAACGAAGAGGUAUCGUAAUUGAAGAGGUUUGGAAAGACCCACCACAGAAGGUAAUAGUCCUGUAUGU
rnacentral:rRNA from 1 species